rnacentral:rRNA from 1 species
AGAGUUUGAUCCUGGCUCAGGACGAACGCUGGCGGCGUGCUUAACACAUGCAAGUCGAACGGAAAGGCCCUUCGGGGUACUCGAGUGGCGAACGGGUGAGUAACACGUGGGUGAUCUGCCCUGCACUUUGGGAUAAGCCUGGGAAACUGGGUCUAAUACCGAAUAUGACCAUGCACUUCCUGGUGUGUGGUGGAAAGCUUUUGCGGUGUGGGAUGGGCCCGCGGCCUAUCAGCUUGUUGGUGGGGUAAUGGCCUACCAAGGCGACGACGGGUAGCCGGCCUGAGAGGGUGACCGGCCACACUGGGACUGAGAUACGGCCCAGACUCCUACGGGAGGCAGCAGUGGGGAAUAUUGCACAAUGGGCGCAAGCCUGAUGCAGCGACGCCGCGUGAGGGAAGACGGCCUUCGGGUUGUAAACCUCUUUCAGCACAGACGAAGCGCAAGUGACGGUAUGUGCAGAAGAAGGACCGGCCAACUACGUGCCAGCAGCCGCGGUAAUACGUAGGGUCCGAGCGUUGUCCGGAAUUACUGGGCGUAAAGAGCUCGUAGGUGGUUUGUCGCGUUGUUCGUGAAAACUCACAGCUUAACUGUGGGCGUGCGGGCGAUACGGGCAGACUUGAGUACUGCAGGGGAGACUGGAAUUCCUGGUGUAGCGGUGGAAUGCGCAGAUAUCAGGAGGAACACCGGUGGCGAAGGCGGGUCUCUGGGCAGUAACUGACGCUGAGGAGCGAAAGCGUGGGGAGCGAACAGGAUUAGAUACCCUGGUAGUCC